UACGGAGGGUGCAAGCGUUAUCCGGAUUCACUGGGUUUAAAGGGUGCGUAGGCGGAUAUGUAAGUCCGUGGUGAAAUCUCUGGGCUUAACCCGGAAACUGCCAUGGAUACUAUGUGUCUUGAAUGUUGUUGAGGUGAGCGGAAUAUGUCAUGUAGCGGUGAAAUUCUUAGAUAUGACAUAGAACACCAAUUGCGAAGGCAGCUCACUAAGCAAAUAUUGACGCUGAGGCACGAAAGCGUGGGGAUCAAACAGG
rnacentral:rRNA from 1 species